GAGUUUGAUCCUGGCUCAGGACGAACGCGGCGGCGUGCCUAAUACAUGCAAGUCGAACGAACGGAGAAAGAAGCUUGCUUUUUUCAAAGUUAGUGGCGAACGGGUGAGUAACACGUGGGUAACCUGCCCAUCAGAGGGGGAUAACAUUCGGAAACGGAUGCUAAAACCGCAUAGGUUCCUUAGUUGCAUGACUGAGGAAGGAAAAGAGGCGUAAGCUUCUGCUGGUGGAUGGACCCGUGGUGCAUUAGCUAGUUGGUGAGGUAACGGCUCACCAAGGCGAUGAUGCAUAGCCGACCUGAGAGGGUGAUCGGCCACAUUGGGACUGAGACACGGCCCAAACUCCUACGGGAGGCAGCAGUAGGGAAUCUUCCGCAAUGGACGCAAGUCUGACGGAGCAACGCCGCGUGAGUGAAGAAGGUUUUCGGAUCGUAAAACUCUGUUGUUAGAGAAGAAUAAGCAUAAUAGUAACUGAUUAUGCCGUGACG
rnacentral:rRNA from 1 species